UGGGGAAUAUUGCACAAUGGGCGCAAGCCUGAUGCAGCCAUGCCGCGUGUAUGAAGAAGGCCUUCGGGUUGUAAAGUACUUUCAGCGGGGAGGAAGGGAGUAAAGUUAAUACCUUUACUCAUCGACGUUACCCGCAGAAGAAGCACCGGCUAACUCCGUGCCAGCAGCCGCGGUAAUACGGAGGGUGCAAGCAUUAAUCGGAAUUACUGGGCGUAAAGCGCACGCAGGCGGUUUGUUAAGUCAGAUGUGAAAUCCCCGGGCUCAACCUGGGAACUGCAUCUGAUACUGGCAAGCUUGAGUCUCGUAGAGGGGGGUAGAAUUCCAGGUGUAGCGGUGAAAUGCGUAGAGAUCUGGAGGAAUACCGGUGGCGAAGGCGGCCCCCUGGACGAAGACUGACGCUCAGGUGCGAAAGCGUGGGGAGCAAACAGG
rnacentral:rRNA from 1 species